UACGAAGGGGGCUAGCGUUGUUCGGAAUUACUGGGCGUAAAGCGCACGUAGGCGGACUCUUAAGUCGGUGGUGAAAUCCUGGAGCUCAACUCCAGAACUGCCUUCGAUACUGAGAGUCUUGAGUCCGGGAGAGGUGAGUGGAACUGCGAGUGUAGAGGUGAAAUUCGUAGAUAUUCGCAAGAACACCAGUGGCGAAGGCGGCUCACUGGCCCGGUACUGACGCUGAGGUGCGAAAGCGUGGGGAGCGAACAGG
rnacentral:rRNA from 1 species